rnacentral:rRNA from 1 species
UACGUAGGGUGCAAGCGUGUCCGGAAUUAUUGGGCGUAAAGAGCUCGUAGGCGGUCUGUCGCGUCUGCUGGUGAAAACCUCGGGGCUUAACCCCGGGCCUGCAGUGGGUACGGGCAGACUAGAGUGCGGUAGGGGAGACUGGAAUUCCUGGUGUAGCGGUGAAAUGCGCAGAUAUCAGGAGGAACACCGGUGGCGAAGGCGGGUCUCUGGGCCGUAACUGACGCUGAGGAGCGAAAGCGUGGGGAGCGAACAGG